GCAGCAAUAACCUCCCAUUUCCUGUGUUGGAUCAUAGGGAGUCUAUCCUGAUAACCACCAACCGCUUGAAUAAUCCCAGAGGUUGUCAUUAUUAUAUAAAAUCCUAAUGUGUGUGUAUUUAAUGUGGUAAACAGGGUUUGUACACAAAUAACACCUAAAAAACUACUGGGUAAAGCAUCACACGCUCAUGUUUAUAGAUAAAGAAGGACGUCGCUCGAUUUGUUACGUGCGCUCUUUUGGGGGUAACUUGUCAAGGCACGGAAUCAGAGGGGUCCUACAUUAGACAAAUGAAUUGAACUGGAGAAUAGACACAAACCGAAAAGAAACCCGAUUUGAUAGGGGACAGAGGAGAAAGGGGGGAUUCAGCUAGCAACGAACCUUAAGACGAAGGAGGAUCAUAGAUAAAUAGACGGAGUUGAAUUUUUUCACCGUCAUCUCUAACUCGUCCAAAGAGCUAUAGGUUCUUCCUGCUCCCUCUCACCACCUUUUCAGUGUCCAUCCUCGGUGCGCAACGGGUUGCUCCAAUCCCACACUGUCUCAAUGAAGGAGGCCGAUGCAAUCAAGCUCUUCAUCGGGCAGAUACCCCGAAAUCUUGAGGAGAAGGACUUGAAACCCAUCUUUGAACAGUUCGGGAAGAUCUAUGAGUUGACGGUGAUAAAGGACAAAUACACGGGGAUGCACAAAGGCUGUGCCUUCCUGACAUACUGCGAACGAGAGUCUGCACUCAAAGCCCAGAAUGCACUGCACGAGCAGAAGACGCUACCAGGGAUGAACCGGCCCAUUCAAGUGAAGCCAGCAGACAGCGAGGGCAGAGGGGAAGACAGGAAGCUGUUUGUUGGCAUGCUGGGGAAGCAGCAGUCGGAUGCCGACGUGAGGAAGAUGUUUGAGGAGCUUGGGAGCAUUGAAGAGUGCACAGUGCUCCGCGGGCCUGACGGCACUAGCAAAGGCUGUGCCUUUGUGAAGUACCAGAACAACGUAGAGGCUGCGGCAGCCAUCAGCACUCUGCAUGGGAGCCGCACUCUACCGGGUGCCUCCUCCAGCCUGGUGGUGAAGUUCGCCGACUCUGAGAAAGAGCGAGGGAUAAGGCGCAUGCAGCAGGUGGCGUCCCAGCUGGGGGUCAUCAGUCCCAUGACCUUACACCUCGGGGCUUACAAUGCCUACACACAGGUACUGGUGCAGCAGCAGGCUCUGGUGGCCCAGUCGGCGUAUUUGUCUCCUGUAUCCACCAUCACCUUGCAGCAGUUGGCUGCCCUCAACCCCAGCAGCCUCAUGGCCACGCCCAUCGCAUCACUCACUACCUCAGGGACCAGCACUCCACCCACCAUGGCAGCUACACCGAUGCCUGCUCUGCCUCCACCACUCAGCUACCCUCCAGUGCCAGCUCCACCCAAUGGACAGUCAGCAUCUGAAACCCUGUACACCAAUGGAGUUCAUUCUUACCAAGCUCAAAGUCCAGUUUUGGAUCCUAUUCAGCAAGCGUACGCAGGGAUGCAGCACUACACAGGUGGGACAGUAGUGAGUCCGCUUGAGUCCUUAAAAUUUCCCAGAGGAAAUUUUAGGUUUGAAAUGCCCUCUCAACAGUCCUUAAUGUUUACUUAUGCGAACACACCCACAGCAACGUACCCUGCUGCCUAUGGAAUGGUAGGGCAGCCAUUCCCACACCAACACACAAUGCUUGCACAGCAACAUCAGCAGCCUCAGCAACUGCAGCAACGAGAAGGGCCUGAGGGGUGUAACAUCUUCAUCUAUCACUUGCCUCAGGAGUUCACUGACUCAGAGAUGCUGCAAAUGUUCAUCCCCUUCGGCAACGUCAUCUCAGCAAAGGUCUUUGUUGACCGUGCCACCAAUCAGAGCAAGUGCUUUGGUUUUGUGAGUUUUGACAACCCGUCCAGUGCUCAGACAGCAAUUCAGGCCAUGAAUGGUUUCCAGAUUGGCAUGAAGAGACUCAAGGUGCAGCUUAAGAGGCCCAAGGAUGCCAACCGACCCUACUAAAUGAGUCAAGACUGUCCUGUCCAUACAUAUAUCGUGGAGACUACGUGGCUAUGGUUGCCUAGCAACCGCUAAAAACCCCUUCCUCUCACAGCGUUGGAAGAUAUGAGUUCUAUCAAGAAACUACUUCCAGCAUUUUGGUUUCGCCCAAACCGUAUAGCAAAGGAGCAACAACACUUCUCGAAAAAUAAGAUCAAAUAUAUGUAUCAUCUAAAAAUCAGCAACAACAGAAUAAAACAUAUGUGGUGGGUGGUUCGGAGUACACAUACCAUUCCACAGCUGGAUUCAGUCAUUAUGUACAGUACCAGUCAAAAGUUUGGACACACCUACUCAUUCACAUUUUUUCUUUAUUCUUGCUAUUUUCUACAUUGUAUAAUAAUGUUGAAGUCAUCAACUUCAACUAUGAAAUAACACAUG